AUGGGGUCUUGUUUGAGCAAGAAAAAGAAAUCGAACCCAGGCAGUAAUGGGUACAAAUCAGGGGUUUCGAAUCCCAGGAAUACUCAUGUAAUUUACGAUAAUCAGCACCAGCAGCAACAGCAACGUUUUCAGCCCCAAAAGGUCUCUGUCCCUCCCAGUCAAACUCAAAUUCCACCGACGAGAACUCAAGAACGACAACAGCCACAGCAGCCGCCGCCGCCACAGCACCCAAUUCCAGCUCCACAAAGGCCAGCACCCACUAUCACAAGGCCAAUUCAAACGCCGGAGACUAUUCUUGGGAAGCCCUUUGAGGACAUCAGGGAGUACUACACUUUAGGCAAAGAAUUGGGGAGAGGCCAAUUUGGGAUCACGUAUUUGUGCACAGAGAAGUCCACCCGUCAUUCCUACGCCUGCAAAUCGAUACUGAAGCGGAAACUUGUCAGCAAGAAUGACAGAGAGGACGUCAAGAGAGAAAUUCAGAUUAUGCAGCACUUGUCCGGACAGCCAAAUAUAGUAGAAAUCAGGGGUGCUUAUGAGGACAAGCAAUCUGUGCACCUUGUGAUGGAGUUGUGCGCUGGUGGGGAGCUGUUUGAUAAAAUUAUCAAGCAGGGUCACUAUUCGGAAAGGGCUGCAGCUGAUAUUAUUCGUUCUAUUGUAAAAGUUGUCCACCAUUGCCACUUUCUGGGAGUGAUGCACCGGGAUCUCAAGCCUGAGAAUUUCUUGCUGGCUAGCAAGGAUGAGAAUGCCAUGUUGAAGGCCACUGAUUUUGGGCUUUCCGUCUUCCUUGAGGAAGGAAAGGUAUACCGUGAUAUAGUAGGCAGUGCCUAUUAUGUUGCUCCCGAGGUACUCCGGCGUAGUUAUGGGAAGGAAAUAGAUAUCUGGAGUGCUGGAGUUAUUUUGUACAUUCUUCUAAGUGGCGUCCCUCCAUUUUGGGCAGAGACUGAGAAAGGGAUAUUUAAUGCCAUUCUGGAAGGAGUUAUUGACUUUGAAAGUGAACCAUGGCCAUCAAUAUCUGACAGUGCUAAAGAUUUAGUCAGAAAGAUGCUAACUCAAGAUCCGAAGAAGCGAAUUACUUCAGCUCAAGUUCUUGAGCAUACCUGGAUUAGAGAAGGUGGAGACGCAUCAGACAAGCCAAUAGACAGUGCAGUUCUCUCUAGGAUGAAGCAAUUCCGAACAUCAAACAAACUCAGGAAGCUUGCAUUGAAGGUCAUUGCUGAAAAUUUAUCUGGAGAAGAAAUCAAAGGGCUUAAGGUAAUGUUCACAAACAUGGACACGGACAAUAGUGGCACCAUCACGUAUGAUGAAUUGAAGACUGGUUUGGCUCGUCUUGGGUCAAAACUUUCUGAAGCUGAAGUCAAGCAACUCAUGGAAGCUGCCGAUGUCGAUGGAAAUGGGACAAUUGACUACAUUGAAUUUAUCUCUGCUACAAUGCAUAGGUAUAGAUUUGAAAGAGAUGAGCAUCUAUAUAAAGCAUUUCAGCACUUUGAUAAGGAUAGCAGCGGUUUCAUAACAAUAGAUGAAUUGGAACACGCCAUGAAGGAACACAAGAUGGGUGAUGAAGCCAGCAUUAAGGAUAUAAUUUCGGAGGUGGAUAUGGAUAAUGAUGGGAGGAUCAACUAUGAGGAGUUUUGCGCGAUGAUGAAAAGUGGAAAACAACAGACUGGAGUAAAGCUCAUGUAAUUCCAUUGUGGGAGCUUAACCAUAUCAUCUAAUGGGUGACUUAGAAUUGCCGGGCUCUCAGAGAGAGGACAAUUGACAAACUUCAGAGGCAUCAAAAUGCCUGUGCAUACGUACAGAUUGGCCAAAUGGGCCACUACCGGGUUCUCGGGUAGCAUUUCUAAGGGUAGCUUUAGUCACAUUUCGGUUUUUUCUAAAGACACCUCAAUCUAAGUUGAUCAUCCAUGUAAAAAUCAGUUGACGGGGUGUCUUUAAAAAAAUCGGGAUGUGACUAAAGUUAUCACAUUUCUAAUCAUAGCGGCUAUGGGCCCAUUGACCUCAUGGACUACCUUUUUGGGCUCUCUUGGGAUCUGUUUGAUUGUUUCUCGUAAAAAAAGUUUGGGCUUCUCCAACAAAGCCCUAUAAUUUUGGCAGGUGGGAGAGUCAAUGGGCCCAGGAGACUAAGAAACAAAGCCCUAUAGGCCCAAUACUUGACGCGAAAAACAGAAAAGAUGGCUUCUUCUUCUUCUUCCCUCUAUUACCUCCUCUCUCUCUCUCUCUCCCUUCUUUAUCCGUCCUGAAAGAGAGAAGGUUAAAAAAUUUGAAAGGAACUCGAAAAGGUAAACGAUCUCACAGGAUUUCGGUUCACUUGCCUGAAUGCCACAAAUCCUGAUCGCGGAAUGAUUUUCUUGGGCCUUACCUAUUAAUCAUUCAUGCAAGUGAGCACGACAUCAGUUGGGAACGCGUUUUAACCCAUACAGUGAACCCUUUUUCACAAGACAGUCUUCCCUACCAAGACAAUGAUGACCUUCAACAAUAGAAUGAGGGCGCUUCACAUCAUCUGCUGAAUUUCUCUGAUGCUGCAUUGAUAUUGAUACAAUAUGAAAUUCAGACCAAUGGAGUUGCUGGUAGGAAAUCUGUGGCCCUUGAAGCUUUGGAACUUCCUCCUCUAUUGGCUCAUCAGUACUCCCAAAGCAGCUGACUGCGACACAUUUCAGGAUUGGCUGAAUGUUAGAUGCUGUAAAUUCUGUGCCAGGGAUUUGGAAUUGAGCUCCAAUGUUCAGUUGCAAGUGAUGUGUUAAUGAGAGUAAGACAUUUACUGCAUCAAAUUUUUGGUUUUGUAAUAUUAGAUAUUUCUAUUGCUGGUCAGCCUAGUAAAUUUGCAAUGCAAAGCA